GUGUACAUUCUUCUUUGUGGAUAUAUAUCAUCAUGAUUGUCUUCUACUUAGAAUCUUUUACACAUGAGAGAAGUUACAUCUCUAAUUGAUAUCCUCUUUUCCUUUACGUCCACCGUUGCAUUUCCUUUUUCAGUUUUUGGUGGCUUCGUGAAAGGAUUUGUCUUGAGUGCGUAUCUUAUUUUCCUACAUCUUGAUGCACUCUUUGGCCGUGAAGAUUAUUUUUCCUCAUGCCUGUCUUGAUGAGGGUUUUGCCAUUUCGACUGGUAUCCCUCCUCUCUUGACAAGGUUCUUAUUUCCUAUCUUCACCAUGGGUUGUCACAAGCGUUGGUUCUUAUUUUGUUUAUUAGUAAGCUUGUGAACCCAUUUUCUAGUAGGUGUGUGUGGGAAUGAUAUGUCUUGCACUUUGUGUCUCAUUUCAUCAAGACUAUGUUGAUGAGUAAUGUUCAUCCUUAUCUUAGUCUUCUCAAGUGCCUUGCCAUGACUCACACACAUUAUUUUGGUUGAGCCUAAUCUUAAGUUGCUUCUUUUACAUGUUGCUCAACCACUUGUUUUGUGCAAGAGAUUUGCUUAUUGUCUCAUCUUUCUUCUUGCACCCGUUGUGUGUUUUUAUUAAUUUUAGGGGGAGCAACGAUCCUAUUUUGUGCACUUGUAUCAUAUACCAAAAUCUCCUAUUAGUGCACAAAUCAUGGGGAGCUUCUCUAGUUUUGAUAAAACACUCCGUUUCUUUUAUCAUAAUAUCUUUUAUUCAUGUGGUUCGAAGGACCAUAUGAUUGUUUGUUCCAUCCGGUAUCUUUUGAUUGCUUGCCUCUAUUGUGGUAUGUCCUUGUGGCAUACGAUUCUUUUAUUUGUAAUCUUUGGGUCCUCAAUAUAGUUUGUUUUCCUCCAACUACUUAUCAUUGUAUUUGUGUAUUUCUUGGCACUCAUUUGCUGAGAAGUACACACUUUUUGGAGGACCACCAAAUAUAUUGGCUUUCUAAACUUUUCGUCCAUUUUGGCAAUCGAUGCCAAUGGGGAGAAGUUUAGAGAGUUUACUUUGGAUAUGUUUAGAGGGGUUUGCUUUUAUUGCGUAAGCAUUUACAUCUUGCAAGCAUGCAUUAUUGCUUUGUAUGUGUGCGGUUGGUUAUGCUUAGUUAUGCUUAUUUCCUUAUAUAAACUCUCUUGAAGUAGUUGUCAUCAAUUACCAAAAUGGGGGAGAWUGUUAGAGCAUAUAUCUCCAUAUGUGGUUUUGGUAAUUGAUGACAAUUCCUAUGGACUAAUGGUUGCCUUAAGUUAUAUUUAUAGGAUUUGUCCAUAGGCACUUCUUGAAGUCCAUCUGUUGGGNNNNNNNNNNNNNNNNNNNNNNNNNNNNNNNNNNNNNNNNNNNNNNNNNNNNNNNNNNNNNNNNNNNNNNNNNNNNNNNNNNNNNNNNNNNNNNNNNNNNGCAUGCCAUCGCCGCUCUGGUUGACCGAACGGUCCCUGCAGGCCUGUCGCUGCAGGCUGGCGAUGCCACGGCCUGCGCGCGCUAGGCUGGUGGUGCCGGUAGUCGACCUCUCGCUGAUGUAUCGAGGUCCCCAGAUUGCGGUUUGAAUGUCAGGGGCUUGAACUCGCGUGCUAGGCGCUGUGCUAUUCGCUCGCUGAUAUGUACCACCCGUGCAUCCAUUGUAUGCCUCCAGGAAACUAAAAUGGAGUUGGCCUGCUCGUCGAUUGUGUUAGACACCCGUUGGGUCCGAGUUUGAUCCCGGUUNUACAUAUCUCCCGCCGAUGGCACUCAUCGCUUGGAAGAGUAGGGCUGUCUCUGUAUCCGACCCCCUACUUCACCCAGAAUGCGAUCACGGUUAAGGUGUGUGCGCCCAGCCGUGCCCCGUGGUUGCUGACCAUGGUGUAUGCCCCCCAAAGUGACCCCGAUAAGCUCCUGUUCCUGCAAGAGCUGCAGGACAUCCGGGCUGCUUGCCCUGGUCCUUGGAUGCUAUGCGGCGACUUCAACCUCAUCUACCAUGACGCGGACAAGAGCUCCGGUAAUCUGAAUCGCCGCAUGAUGGGAAGGUUCCGUCGUGCCAUCAACGACCUUGCCCUGAAGGAGGUAUACCUAAAUGGGCGCCGCUUCACCUGGUCUAACGAGCAAUCUCAGCCGACGCUUGUGCACCUCGAUCGAGUUCUCUGCACCGCGGACUGGGAGGAUUACCACAGGGAGUGCCACCUCUGAUGCCUUGCAUCCGUCGUGUCCGAUCAUUGCCUCCUACUGCUGGAUUGCUCCCCCAUGCCCACGGCCCACAGACGCUUCCGCUUCGAGGCCUUCUAGCUCCGCCUUGACGGAUUCCACGCCGCGGCCUGGAGCUCCGUGCAUGACCCCGACCCCUUCCAGAGGUUGGUCCGACGUUUGCAGGCUACUGCCCGCGCCCUUACGAGCUGGAGCGCUAGGUCCACGGGCAACGUUCGGGACAAAUUGGCCAUAUCCCGCGAGCUGAUCGCCCGCUUCGACCACGCAAUGGAGAGCCGUCUGCUCUCCCUGGCUGAGGACUGGCUGCGCAAGCAGCUCAAGGUGGCGUACCUUGGGCUGGCCUCCCUUGAGCGCACCAUCGCGCGACAGCGCGCCCGCAUCUCCUUCCUGGCCGAGGGCGACGCCAACACGAGCUUCUUUCACAGGCAGUGUACGUUCAGGCGCCAGAAGAACCGCGUGCAUAGCCCUCCUAGUUGACGGGCAUGUGCUAUGCGACCAUGAGGAGAUGGACCAAGCGGCAUUCGCGCACUUCGACGGGUUGCAGGGCACCGCCGUGGACCGUGAGCACACUCUGGAUCUCGAGCAGCUUGUCACGGCCAGUGACCUUGGCAGCCUGGAUGCACCCUUCACCCCUGAUGAGAUUUGGGCUGCGGUGCAGCGUAUGCCGGCGCACAAGGCACCAGGGCCAGACGGGUUCACCGCAAAGUUCUUGCGGGCCUGUUGGAGCACUAUCAGGCAGGACAUCCUGGAUGUCUUCGAGCAGUUAUUCCUGCUUCGUGGGAGAGGGUUUGGUAAACUCAACCAAGCCCUCCUGACCCUGCUGCCAAAGCGCGCGGAUGCACAUAAGCUGGGUGACUACCGGCCUAUUUGCCUGAUCCACAUUAUGGCCAAGUUAUCCGCGAAGGUUCUGUCGUUGCGCAUCGCCCCCAAGCUGGAUAGCCUAGUCAGCCGCAACCAGAACGCAUUCAUUGCCGGACGCUCCCUCCACGACAACUUCAUGCUCGUUCGGCAGUCCCUUCGGAUGCUUCACCACUUGGGCGCCCCGUGCAUCAUGCUCAAGCUUGAUCUCGCGCGGGCUUUUGACUCCAUAUCAUGGCCGUUCCUCUUCGAGAUGCUGCGCCAAUAUGGGUUUGGGGACAGGUUUAGGGAGUGGAUAGCCAUCCUCCUUUCCUCGUCUAGCACGCGGGUCAUGCUCAAUGGCGUGCCUGGCCCCUCGAUUUGGCACCGCCACGGGCUGCGCCAAGGGGACUCCACAUCGCCACAACUAUUUGUCCUCGCUGUCGACGCGCUGGGCCGCCUCAUGCAUCGGGCGCUCCAGACUGGCAUACUCCGGCGGCUCCACCGCCGCCGUACAGUUCUGACCGUCUCUUUAUACGUCGAUGACGUGAUGCAGUUNNNNNNNNNNNNNNNNNNNNNNNNNNNNNNNNNNNNNNNNNNNNNNNNNNNNNNNNNNNNNNNNNNNNNNNNNNNNNNNNNNNNNNNNNNNNNNNNNNNNUCAACACAGGCAGUGAACUACAGGUUGAUGGAAGUAGCAAAGCACCUUAUUGAUAUCCCCAUUUCGCUCCAAACAGGCUAGUCCAUGCUUUGUUGGAGACCAGACUUGCACAACCAACUCAGAAACAGGUCACAUUACCUCCUCUACCCCGUGGUGAACAUGCAAAAUGUGAAGCACGGUUAGAACUGCAAAGGAGAAAUGCCCAAGAAAACAAAGAUGUGUAGUGGGACAAUAAAAUACCUCAAACAUUGGUUAAGCCUGCCAAAAUGAACAUUCCUGAGUUUGAAGACACUCGUAGUGACUCUUAGAUAUAGACCAUUGAAAUGUACUUCGAGGAAGCUGGAACUCCUACUGAAAACAAGACGGAAAUUGCUCUCACUUACCUCAAGGGCGCAACCAUGGAAUGGUGGAGAGGCACUGGAAUUGUGGCAAACACUUUACCCUAGUAUAGGUUCUGCAGUUAUGUGGGAGAUAGAUUUGCUGAGACUUCCGUUUGUGAUAAUGUCAGAGCUUUUCAUGCUCUUACUGAGACUGGCAACCUCAAUGAUUACAUCCUCAAAUUUGAACAAAACAUGAAUCUCACGAGGAGAGACAACCCUUGUAAGGGAUCUCCUUAAUAUCUCACACACGAACUGGUAGUACUCUCAGAGAGGACUUAUACCACAGUAUCUAUUACAAGAAUUUGGUACACGAAUGAGAGGAAUGGGAGGAAUAGGGAAGAAACUGGAGGUAGGGGAAAGAGAGAGGAGCCGUCGCCGUUUCGUGCCGUGAUUGUAACACCCAAGAUUUUUUUAUUUCAUUUCUUUGACUUCUGAGUUGUUUUAAAAUGGAUUUAAAAUUUUGGCUUUGAUAAAACCCUGAAGUUUCUUUGGAAACCUUUUUAAGCAAAUCCUUUGAGCUUUUCUUUUUCAACAUGUCUGAAUUGAAAAGGACUUUGGUUGCCUCUUCUCAAAAUGAGUUGGUUGGAAAAAUAUAUUUAUUCUUUAACAAACCCUUGGGAUAAUUUCCAUAGUUUCUCUUGUCAAUCCCCCUUCUAUAUUUAUUUCUCAUCAUCCCUUGUGAUUUCUAUCCUAUGACACUUCUAUAACACCUAGGUUUUCAUUUUAUUUGACUUCUCAAAGUUUUAGAAGGGUUUAACAACCUUUCAAAAUUUAUUUCAAUUAAAAGCAUUUUAUGUAAUCAGUUUUGACUCGAGCAAAUUUUCAAAGGAACCCAUAGUUCCCUUGGGAAUUUGAGGCCCAAACUCCUAUACUUAGAACACCUUAGUACCCUCAACCCAUUUCACCAAAAACCUUGGGUUCACAAGUUUGAAAAAUUAAAAUUUGAUUUGACUCGUGUUUGACCAAAAUAUUCUGUUUUUAUUAAAAACUUGUAUUAAACAUUUUCAAAAAUUCUGAAAAAAUUACAGACAACCUCUGCACCCAAUGAGUGGUCAUAUCAUAAAUUUUCAGCUCCAAAAACCUUUUCCACAUGCUAGUUUCAUUUGAUCAAACACUUUGUGUGCACUCUUGCCCUAUCUGUGAAGCCGAUUCAGUCAAAUUCAGACUUCAGUGCUUCGCUGAUUCAGUCUGCCGCUUCGUCAAUCUCAGCAGUAUCAACGGGAAUAGCUCGCCCCUGUGCUCGUGCCUAUCCGCCAGCCGCACAUUCCUUUGGACGCUUGCUGGCGUUGGUGGUGAGAUGGCCUGAGCCAGCCAGCUCCGGCAGCAGCACCGGCAACACAUGUCGCGGCCACCACAGCCCCCUUGCUGCAGCCCCUCGCCGUUUCAGCACCGCCCAUCGCCCAUGUGAGCACUGCGUGUCCCUGGCCUUCAGUGCAUGCCACGUUUGCCGUCGCCACACCCCGUGCAGCGUAGAGCACGACCUCUGGUGCCACCGUGCGCACGGAAGGCCACACCGUCGAGCUGAGCAUUGCGCCGAUGGUUGAUCAACCUUUGACCAAAAAUGGAAUCCCUAUGCUGAGUAGGUACUCACCCAACCACCUAACCAUCUGAUUAAGCCCCUGGAUCAUGGGAAUUGAUCACCGGAGUUAAGCCCCGCGACACCCCUCUCGGACCUCUAUAAAUAAAGCCCCUCCGUUGUUGUUGAACCCCUCAUCCACUCCACCUCCUUCUCUCCUCACUCCGAAGCCUUGCCCAAGCCAGAGAAGGGCCUCGGNNNNNNNNNNNNNNNNNNNNNNNNNNNNNNNNNNNNNNNNNNNNNNNNNNNNNNNNNNNNNNNNNNNNNNNNNNNNNNNNNNNNNNNNNNNNNNNNNNNNAAGUAACUGCCGACAACAUCUGAUUAAAAGCCACUCGCAAACCAAGUAUGAGCUAGGAUUGCUCGGAACAAAUGUAUGACAGAGAUUCCAUUUGAUAUCUUCGUGGAUAAGAUCACACGGGCUCGAUCCUACAGUAGCCAUCAUGUACAAGGUAGUGCACACGACAUACGAAGUGUCCCCGGGUCGUAGCAAGUUACAAGGACUCUUUAAGACACAACGAGAACCACUGUAAGAUGACCGUGAACAAACGGAUCCACUGAAUGUCGAAUCCCAACCUCACAUCAAGCAUCUGCUGGAAGAAUGUCCUAUAAGUCACUACCUAAUUUCCCACCUAAGCACUCCCGAAAUUUCUGGUCAUGCAAUCUGGUCCACGGAUACAAGGAGUAAUAUAUCACUCAACUCCUAUACUAACCCGUACAAUGUAUCACAUCUAUCAACAGAUAACCAGAAUCUCGGAACUUCAUCUAUCUCAGACCCUCGUAAUCACAACGAUACUAAGUGUGGUGAUACAUCCGUAACUAUCUGCACCAGUACUGGGGAAGUCGUAGUCCUCUCGUCACUACUACUAUUGAAGCAAUUUGGAACAUCCUUCGUCCUGAGAUACUAAGAAAUCUGAAUGAUAGCGAUGUGCUCAAGAAUCCCCUGGAGUCAACUCCCCGGAAGAAAUCAAGUAAGAUAGGAGGCACCAAGACACAACUCCGUCACAUCACAUCAUAUAGAUUCCAAAAAUAUCCGCGUGAUCCUAAAAACUUUUUUGAGAAAGAAGAGGAGUAGGAUCAAAAUUUCCUAAGUCAUGAAUCUCAGCCAGAGCAUAGAAAUGGAGAAAAAGAAACCUACUCUACGAUAUAACUAAGACUCGAAAUAGUUUUUGCUAGACUCGACUCGGCCAAGUUCGAUCACACAAAGGCUCCUAUGGUCGUAAGGCUCUAAUACGAACAUGUAACAACUAAGAUGCGGCCCUUUCCUUAUUUGGGGGCGAGGCCUCAAAAGGGGAAAGAGGCGCAUCUACGCGUUUCGCAAGCAAGAUAAUCAUAUCAAAUAUAAAUAACUGAAAGAGUGACAAGUAGGGCAUACACUUGCCAUCUGAUAAGGUACAUAGCCAUACAGUCAUACAGUAUUCAAAACAUGGAAUGGUCCGAUUACGGACAUGAUAAAUGGCAAAAGCUAUGAUAUCCCACAUGCUAGGCCCAUGAUCACGACCACGACCUCUAGUCCUCGGGAUAAGUCACAUACAACUUGCCGCUGUCCUCAUCAAACUCCCACUUCAGCUGGCUGUCAUCAGGAACUCUUGCAUCUGAGUACCUAUACCUGUGGGUGUUUGUAGUAAACUAUGAUCCACGAGGACUCAGCAAUCUCAUGACCUUGGUAUCGAGUCUAACUAAGUUAAAUGGGUGAGGUAGGUUAAGUGUUUGAGUUUGCAGCAUCCUAAGCAUAUAUGGUGGCUAUCUUACGAUGAACAGAAUUAACAUAUGGUGGACUACAUAAGACGGUCGAAGACUAGGUUGAUCACUAAGUGAUCCUAAACACCUACUUACGUCAUUCAUAACCCCACCGUGUUCUCGAUCAGAGAAGGAGCUCUGAAAGAGAGUCACAGUUACGCACUCAGUUGGCAAGUUUUAUUUGAAUUACUUUAAUUUGUCUAGAACCGGAUGUUAACAAAAUAUCCAUGUUCGCCACAUAACCGCGAGCACGGCUUUCUGAAAUAUUAAACCCUGCAGGGGUGCUCCAACUAGUCCAUCACAAAUUACCACAGGCCGCAUAGUAAUCCUCUAUCACGAUAACUCAUGAUCUCGUCGGAUUCCUUAGAGCAAAACCUCAACUCUGAGAAGACCCAAAGUCUCACCGGAAUCCCAAUGCGCAAGAUAUAUCGCUAAGGUAAUACAAAUCUGGAAAGACCUCCCGAUGUGUUGACGAUCCCGAUAGGAGCUGCGUAUCUCGUUCUCAGGACAUGACCGGAUGAGCGCAUCGUAAAGUGGCCUGAUAGAGAUCUCCCGAGUUGCCCCGGGUUGGCCCCGCACACGACUCUAGUUUGGACCAACACUCAUGAGGAGCACUGGCCCGGGGGGGGGGGUUGAUUUAGAUUCCUCGGGGUAGCUAUUCCCUAUGCNNNNNNNNNNNNNNNNNNNNNNNNNNNNNNNNNNNNNNNNNNNNNNNNNNNNNNNNNNNNNNNNNNNNNNNNNNNNNNNNNNNNNNNNNNNNNNNNNNNNGGCUUGUGUCAAAAGGAAGAUCUCAUACAACCCAUGAAGGAUGACGUCAAGUGGUGAUCGUCAUCAAGAUUGUGGUGUGCAAGUUCAAGUGGAUCAGCACGAAUAUAUCAUUGAAACUAUUGUCAAUGAUCAUGUGCUAACAAGGACAAGAUCAAGAUAAGCAUUCCUGAGCACUACAUGCUUGAUUCUUGUGGAUGUUCACAUGGUGGAUAGGACAAGAUCAAGAUAAGCAUUCUUGAGCACUACAUGCUUGAUUCUUGUGGAUGUUCACACAUGGUGGACAAAUGAAGAUAAAUACAUAAGCUAGGCUUUCUGCAUUGUGUAUGGGAAAGCUACUUGAAGACUUCAUCAUGUCUUGCUUUCAACUUGAGCCAAGAAGGAACAACAACAUCAAGCUCAGGUGAAAGGGCUAACUCAAAGGUAUCAGUUCCUUUGACGUUAGUUGUGCGGAGUGAUGAUCAGCGAAUAAAAGUAUACACUCAAGUAUGGAUCAUCAGUACUCUUUUAUGAUUCUUGAGUCCUUAGGGAUCCCCCACUAUUAAGAGGGGAUCACAGGUUUUGCGAUGAACUUGCUCAAACUACAUCAUCACUUUCUGCUCAGACCACAUCUCCACUGUUUUGUUGUUAUCUAAAAACAGAACCAGUGCCUCGGACAUCCGGCUUUCUCUGGACGUCCGAGGACCGGACGACUGACUAGUUUGGAAAUCCGGAAUCCUAUACCAAAGAAAUCAGAGCCACAUAACUCGGACGUCCGGCUACCUCCGGACGUCCGAGACCCGGAUGUCCAGCCAAGUCCCGGAAAUCCGGAAGCCUGCACCAGUAGAAGUUGAGUUCUAUAUCUCGGAAAUCCGGCUCCCUCCGGACGACCGAGCGCCGGACGUCCGACACCCGUCGGAAAUCCGGAACCUACCACCAGUAGAAGUUGAGCUGUAUAACUCGGAUUUCCGGUCCUCUCCGGACGUCCGUAUGCUGAUAAAUUCAAAUAUGUUCAGGCACAUCUACAGGCCUCGGACGACCGACCCCUGUCGGACGUCCGGCCGCUGAUGAAUUCAGAAGAGUUCCAGUCAUGCCUAAAGGUCUCGGACAUCCGACCCUGGUCGGACGUCCGGUCCCUCGCGGACGCCCGGACUUCCGACAACUGUCGGACGUCCGGACCAUGUGUGACUUAAAGUGUCCCCAACGGCUCUUUUUCUCUCCACACUAUAAAUACCCCCCUCCCACUUUGUGAGAGGGUUGCCUAACACAGCCUUAUCCUCAUAAGAACACACUUCCACCUCACACACAUUUGCUCACUCCAAAUCUUAGAUCCCACGAGCAUUUGUGAGCCCCUUUGAGAGUUGUUCCAAUCAAUAGAUAGAUCUUCUCCCUCUCCUUCUCUCAACCCCAAGCUAUUUGUGAUUUGAGCUAGUUUUGAGCAUUCCCCGUGAUCUUGUUACUCUUGUGAGGUUGGAGAGGUUGGAGACUCCUAGGCGGUAGGAGUUCUUCGAAGAGGAAUCAAUCCGUGUGAUUUCCCCCUGAAAAGUUUGUGAGGGUUUGGAAGCCACCUCAAAGGCUUACCACUAGUGGUUGAGAAACGCCUUCGUGGUGUUAUCUCAAAGGGAGAAUAGGGUGAGCCUUCGUGGCGUUGGUGUGCCUUCGUGGUAACAUCCACCUCUCUAACGGUGACUAGCUUCCCUCCAAGGAAGUGAACAUCGRGAUACAUCUUCGUCUCAGUGACCUUGGUUAUCCUUAACCCUAACUCCUUACUUGUGGUUUACUUGUGUUAUUUGAGCAUACAUACAUUGCAUAUUGCUUGUGCUCAUUAUAUUGUGUUGGCCAUUUCUUGUACAAGAUUAAUCAUUCAAGCAUACCCUCUAUAUCCACACGUUCAUACUUGCAGCCCUUGAUAUAUCGUGUUGAUAUAGUGUGAUCUAGUAUCUUGUGUUGUUCACCUACUUGUCGUGUGAUAUAGCUCAAGUAAGUUUGUGUAACUUACUUGUGCUUGUUAGUAACUGUAUUGUGUCCAUCUUGGUAGAUCGUGUUGUUGAUACACGUUCUAGUGCCUAGUGCAUUUAGGAUUUGUGCUUGANNNNNNNNNNNNNNNNNNNNNNNNNNNNNNNNNNNNNNNNNNNNNNNNNNNNNNNNNNNNNNNNNNNNNNNNNNNNNNNNNNNNNNNNNNNNNNNNNNNNGGCAGCUAUUUAUAGCCUGGGAGCAUCCCGACAUGAUUUGACACUAAUGCCCUUAAAUAAUAUGAACGUUGGUGUGGAUAAGACCAAUGAUGUGGCGUGGCUAUCGAAACAGUCGGAACCCUCAACUGUUAGAGUCCUCAUGUCACUCAUAUUCCUCACUUGAGGCUUUUUGUAGGAUUAGGCUUGGGUUGAGCAUCAUGAGGAAAUUCAUUCCAAUGUGUUACCUCGACCCCCUUUAACUGUACGGUGUUCCUAUUACUCAAGUGUGAAGAAAACAAAACAUAAAGAGUAAAUCUUCAUGCUUCACAGUCUUCAGAAUGAUUUUCUUCAGGACACACCGAAUUCCUCAAUUUCAAUAUCUUCAUGAGGAAUAUCAAUUUCAUCGCAGAUUCUUCGCGAUUCAAUUCUUCAGCUUCAGACCAAUUUCUUCAACCGAAGAUAUACAUUUUUAGGGGKCKAUAUUCAUCGAAUAUUUCAAACUCCUCAGCGACUUAUAGAUCUUGUGUACACUCGAGAACACAUUAGAUACUUAACCUAUAAAGUCUUCAAACCACCAAAAAUCACUAAGGGGCACUAGAUGCACUUACAACACCGCAGAAAGGGCAUAAAUAAAUAACAAGCCGCAGUCGUGCGUCUUAGCAACACCACAGAAAGGGCAUAAAUAAAUAAAGGAUUAUUCGGGUGGUACAACCAAUCUUCAGGAUAAUCUUAGAACUAGGAUAUCAAUAGUAAGUUUUUCCACAACAUCGUCAGAUAUCCAUAACCAUCACCAUUAAACCAUACUUGUGCUCCAGGGACCGACUCUAAGACCGACACUUGACCUGUCAGACGACCGUCCUUUACCGUCGACAUGGCUACUCGAAUAACUACUCGAAUAGUUCUGACUCUACAGAGGGUGUACUCUUUACCCAUAGCUCACGGGUUUCGAUAGUCAAUAUGACUAGCCCCGGGAACGGUAUUCUAGAAGCAGACACUCAAAAUCAGCACACACCCAUUUUUACCCCCGCGAAGACCGGCUUCACCUGGACUACGCUGCCAGGGAACAACCAUAAGACGGCGAGGCUCCGACCUCGACUAUCAUGGGAUCAAAUUUAUACCACGUGCUACAAGGGAGUGCCCUCCCUCUCGGUCCCAGACCGGAAACACCCAUGCCCCCUGACCAGAUGACUGGAUUUAGUCCAGGGCCAUGGAUAUCUUCAUCCCGACCCUCUACUUGGUGUGUAACUGAUAAUAAGCCUAUGACCGACUAUAACGAAUCCUCUUUCAGGAAACUGUGGCAGCACGAUAAUGAAAGUAAGACACUGACAAGACUCGAUCUAGGUCGAUACUGGAGUUAUCACUUUCUUUCCAUCACUAUCAUGCACUUGUCAUGACCAGGCCACAACCUAUCAUGUUCCGCGUGACUCGGUUAACCACGACCUCUCACAACCAUAAAUUGCCAUAGCCAUAUUUUAACUUUGUUUAUGAGGGAUGCAAUAUGAUUGAUUAAUGCAAUGGAUUUAUAUUAAAUUUGUUAGUGAGCAAGCAACACAUCAAAAGUUCAAACAUGCUUGCUUGGUUCCACGUAGUCGGGAUCGAGCUCGGUGAAGUUAGCGUCGGUGUUUCCUUCGUCGGAAUCUACGUCAUACAACAUAUACCAUCGUAAGAGCUAAGUCCUACCUACUGCCUCCACGCAAUUUUCUAAUAAAUAUGAAAAUAAACUACACCCUCAGAGAAAGAUUUUGCAAAAAGAAUCAAGUAAAAAGCUUUUGUAGGUUUAAAGUUAUUAGCAAAACAAGAUCAGGGACCAUUCUAUAAUAAAACAUAGUAUGUCCAGGGGCUAGUCUGAGGAAACUCAAAGCGUCCGAAGGGGGUAUGCGUCAACCAGUAGCAAAGACAACUUCUGGAGAAGGCGCUUUCAAAGAAAACGCUUACAAAAAAGAAAAGAACCCUGACGAGGGGGUCCCACCCUGUCAGGUUCGAAUCUCACCGGCGCCAGAGGCGUGCGGUGGUCGCCGAUGGCGAUAGACGAAGGGAGAGAGCAAGCCGAUGGCANNNNNNNNNNNNNNNNNNNNNNNNNNNNNNNNNNNNNNNNNNNNNNNNNNNNNNNNNNNNNNNNNNNNNNNNNNNNNNNNNNNNNNNNNNNNNNNNNNNNGCAAGGAUGCAAAUGGUUUGAGAUCUCAACGAACUAUACGAUCAAGCUACUCACUUGAGAGCCCCCCUUGACAGUACGACAAUCUGUCCUAAAACAGAAAACCUAUAAAGGGAAAACCUAUGCCUUGCACCUCAUCCUCUUGAGCUAGAUGACUAUGAUCUUGGCUUCCUCAAGAUGGACCACCUUUCAUGCUUGCGUUGGCUUGAUGAAGACUAGUUCAUUGCUCCCCGAUACACACUAUGGGUGAGCCGCUCUUCAGCAUAUCUUCACAAGUCCAUUGCCACCAUCCUCCACCACUUGACGUCAUCCUCCAUGAGUUUUAUGAGAUCUUCCUCUUGACGCAAGCCCAUGGAAACACACCUAACCCCACAUAGAACUCUCAAGAAGACCAUGGGUUAGUACACAAAUACGUACUGGACAAUGCUUACCAUACCAUGGGAUCACUCGAUCCCUCUCGGUACAUCUUGUACGCUUUGUGUGUUGAYCAUCUUGAUUUACUCUUUGUCUGACGAUCUUGAUCAACCUUGUGUCUCUAUGACCAUUCUUUGGAUAAUACCUUGAAUACCACCUUGGUCAUCAUAUAAAUACCUUGAACCCAACAGAUGGACUUCAAGAAGUGCCUAUGGACAAAUUCUAUAAAUAUAAGUCAAGGCAACCAUUAGUCCAUAACAAUUUUCAUCAAUUACCAAAACCACAUAUGGAGAUAUAUGCUCUAACAGCUAUGUUGCACAACAUGACCUUGAUCUAUCCAAGCAAUCAGUGAGUCAAUUUGUCACAUCUAUUGACGUUGAUGUGGUUCUCUCUUUCAACGGUGCACCUACCAAGCUCAGCAUCAAUAUUAGGCUCUCCACAUUGAGAAAAUGUCCAAAGUGUCACACGGACGGACAUGAUAUAGUGGUAAUGGGAAAACUCUACGACUCGUAAUAAAGGGGGCACGUCGACAUCAGAGUAAUGUGACAUGACAAGUACUACUGCACACCAAGCGUCAGAGUGAGGCUUGACGAUUUAUUCGAGAUGAUGGAAGCGAUGAAAUAAUACAGCGGCGGACUCCAAGAUAGUAAGACUGACUGGGACUCCUCUAGACGUUGGACUCGCUAUCGAACUCUUCAUCCAUGAGAUCUCCUUCAUGCAUAUCUGGCCACAUCAACAAGCCAGUAAGUACUUUGAAAAGUACUCGCAAACAAUUUGCACAAUAUAUGAGAUGCAUGCAACGAUUAUUUAAUGUGCAUGGUUCAUAUCAUAAUUAAUCAUAAUAAAGAUGUUGGUAGCCAUUAAGUUAGUGGAUAAGUCGGGUGGUAAUUCUUCCGAAAUAUCCAAAAAGAAAAAAAAUGCACCGAUCGGGUUUCUGGAGCGACGCCUUGAAAGGAUAACAGGGAAAUAAGUUACCACCGUCGGACGUCUAAGCGACACCUCAUACAGGGCAUCAAAUAAAUAAAAAACCGCAGUCGGACGUCUUAGCGACACCGCACAAAGGGCACAAAAUAAAUAACAAGCCGCAGUCGGGUGUCUUAGUGACACCACAAGAAGGGUAUAAAAUAAAUAACAAGCUGCAACCGAGCGUGUUAGCGACACCACAGAAAGGGCAUAAAAUAAAUAACAAGCCGCAGUCGGGCGUCUUACCGACACGUGAAAGUGCGUUAUAUCGACUAGAGGGGGGUGAAUAGGAGAUUUUUAGAAUUUCAUCACUGAGGAAAUUCCUUUUGAGGAAAUUCCUCACUGAUGACUAACUUACAGCGGAAACAGUAAAGGAUCAGGAGUGCAAAGUUUCACUACAUUAGUUCUUCAGUAUGAAGAAUGUGAAAAACAGAUUGCGCAGUAAGCAGGCACGCAGAAAACAGAUGAGGAUUAACUUGCAUGAAGAAUUUGGGGUUGAGGAAUUUCAGAGAAAGUCUUCAGCAAAUUCUUCAAACAGUGACAGUGAAAAUCAUCAACACAUAAUCUGAGGAAUAGAAAGAGUUGAGGAAUUAGAACCCGUUUCACAGCAAAGACAGUAGUUGAUGACCUAGUUNNNNNNNNNNNNNNNNNNNNNNNNNNNNNNNNNNNNNNNNNNNNNNNNNNNNNNNNNNNNNNNNNNNNNNNNNNNNNNNNNNNNNNNNNNNNNNNNNNNNAGUGAGUCCAUCCUCUUUUGCCUACUCCAUGUAUGAAGCAAACUCCUUUUCAAAAAAUAAAAAUCUAGGAAGCAAACUGAGCUGCAGAUUGAGCUAGUUAUUGGCAUUAGUACUUUCUGAUUGCUGUGAAAUUUCUUCGUAGGUGGAUCUCAGCACUAUGCUCGAGGAGGCAGUCCUCUACGUCAAGUUUUUGAAGCUACAGAUCAAGGUAAAUCCAAAUGACAUGGUUGCAUUAGACCUUUUAUCCCCUAGGAACUCGGUGUGUGAUCGUGAUGUGUCUUACAAGAAAUUUUGUUCAUGAUUUCAUGGUGAUGAAUUCUGUAAUAGUUUGCUGCUGCAAUACCUACUUUUCUGUAGAUUGGGUCUUAUUUAAACUGAACAUGAGAAUUCUACUGUGUUAUUAUAUCCUCGCACUACGGUACUAGUAUUAGAAUUAUGCUGACUGAAUAAUAUCUCGAAUAGAACAUGAGUUACGCUGCAUUAUUUAGUCCCUAAAUUAAUACAUAAGAAAGAAGGACUUGAAUUUAUGCUAGUACUCCUACCAAAGUUUGUAUUCCUGUUUUUGUUAUCGUUCUGGGCCAGUCGGUGCCUGCUGAAGCUUACUGAAUGUAUCUCUUGUUCUGGACCAGUUUUGGUUUUGUAAAGCAAAAAAAAAUAUGUAUAGAGCAGCACACAUUUGUUCCUUAGUCGUCACCACUCACAUUUUCUCAACAAACCUUACGAUAUUGCAAGUGUCUAAUAUGCAUCUCGGGGGACCUGUUCCUGCAACCAAUUUCGAACAAGUAUGUAUAGUCACCAAUUAAGUUUGUUUAUGGGAUUUAUUAUUUUUGGGCACCUCGCCUGGAAUCUUGGACGGUAUGUGCGUGUAUCCACCAUAGUUGGAAAUGAACUUCUACGAAAUUGGCGCAGGUUGUGAUGACCUAUCCGGAUCGGGCCGUAGAGCCGAGCCACUCAGGAGUAGCAGGGUUGCGCGUGGAAAAAAGUAUCAUCGCUUCAACACAUCUGCUCACAAUGUGUGCGUUCCUCUGUUGAUGAUAUGUAUAUAAGUGACAAGAAUUCGUUGCCACUGUGUUGUAUGUAUUCCUUUGUCUAGAUGAUUGGGCAGUGGGAGUUGUGCAUAGUAGCAUACAGUAUUUUUCCUUUUCCUAAUCCAUCGCAAGGAGCUUCAUAUUAAGUUUGUUGUUAGCUUCCCCAGGAAAAAAAAGUUUGUUGUUAGCUUCCCCAGGAAAAAAAAAGUUUGUUGUUAGCUGUAGCCUGCUUCAAGUGUGUAUAGAUUCAUGUAUCAAGUUUCUUCAGAUGUUCAUAGACUACUGGAUGUAGAUUUCUUACCAAGUGAUCAUCUUGGUAAGCUACCAACAAAAAUUGCAAUCAAGGAUGUAUAUUUCUUAAUACUCAUCAUGUUAUAAUACUCCUAGCUUUGCCACUUUGAAGACAUUUCAUAAAACCGGGCCUUAACCACUUUGGAUGUGGGUUUAUGCCAUUUCUGUUUGGUAGGAGUUUGUUAGCUAUAUGCACUAAAAUUAUGUCAGCUGGCGACGCCUCUGCAUUGUCGUCGACUGAAUUAGGGGAGCAGCAUGCGACGAUUCUAGCGUUAGCAUUGGGCAUGCGCUGGUUCAGACUUAGGAGAGGUUCAGACUGCAGUGCGGUUUAGACUUAGGAGAGGUUCAGACUGCGGUGCUACACAACUGCGUGAACAGCCCUUCUGCAGGUAUGCAAGCUCAUCCUCUUCUCUUAUUUCAUACUGAUGCAUAGGAGAGGUACCAAUCUGGAGAUUGGUUUCUCGAUCAAGGGAAUGACUAGAACAUCUAUUUUGGGAGUGAUGACUUCCAGAUUUACCUUUGUUAUGUUAACUGUAUGGGAUCUUGACCCAAAUUUCCAUAAAUAUACACUUGCUAUGUUAACUGUAUAGUGUUGACCCAAAGUUGGAAACUUUUCUUAGUCGUAUGUUGGAUGGCCAGAUCUAUGAAAACUUGCAGAUUCACCUUUGCUAUUUGGAGUGAAUUNNNNNNNNNNNNNNNNNNNNNNNNNNNNNNNNNNNNNNNNNNNNNNNNNNNNNNNNNNNNNNNNNNNNNNNNNNNNNNNNNNNNNNNNNNNNNNNNNNNNUAAGGAAAUAAGCAUAACCAAGCGCACAAAUACAAAGCAAUAAUGCAUGCGAGCAAGAUGUAAAUGCUUACGCAAUAAAAGCAAAACCCUUUAAACAUAUCCAAAGUAAACUCUCUAAACUUCUCCCCAUUGGCAUCGAUUGCGAAAAUCACUACAAGAAAUAUGCUCAUACAUGAUGUUUUUUUAAGACGUCGUUGAUAGAAUUCGUCAUAAAUCUAUGACGAUUUCAUCCGAGAUUGUCGUAAACCGUUUGAGGGGAUCAAAUCUACAUAUAAAUUAUGACGAUGUGAGUCAAAAACGUCGUAACCACAUAAGAUGAGAUCGUCAUAACUUCUACGAUGAUUAUAAAAAUGUCGUAACAUGUUCUAACUAUGUUGACAUGUCACUCGUGGGUCCAUUAUAUCCCACCUCAUGCAUGUAUUGAACUAUUUUUUUAUACCACUAUUCUGUUGGGCUAUUAUUUUCAUCUUACUUUUAUAUUGGGUUGGUAUUUUAUCCUCCAUGCUUGCUAAUGGGUUGGUUUGUGGUAUGUCAUAAUAUUUUAUAUUGUAAAUAAUAUAUUGUCUAAUAUUUUUUUAAAUGAGUUGCUACAUUUUUACAAGAAAGAUUUGGUAGGUACUUUACAAAAAACCUAUUUUCUCGCACUUCGAAAAUAGAAAAUGAUUUUUUUGUGCAAACAAAAUAUAAAAUCUCUUUGACAACGUUGUUUGUCAUACUAAGAUACACACAUGUGGACAAUAUUGGGUCCUUGUAACAAACUAUAAGAGGAUAAAAUAUAAGAGAAUCAAACAAACAAAAAAAAGUUUAUAUAAGCUUAAUUCUGAUUGGUGGAAUCUGCUAUAGUCUAAAGAAUAUGAAAUUUGACAUGGUAUUGGUUCAUCAUUUCUAGAAUGUGUGAAAAAAUAUUUGAGAAAAAUUACUAAAUAUUAACAUGUUUAUUUUAUCAAAAGUAAUAGGUAAAUAAACAUAAUUUUAUUUGCAGAUUUCCUAUUGGCUAAAACCUCCUUCCCCCGGAUCGAUGACGUGGCAGGGCAGUCAGUCCCACUUUAGCUGAUCUGAACCGUUAAAGCCAACAAAUCGAACGUGUCUCAAUGAAUCCAAACGCUGCGCGCAGAAAAAAAAAACCCGCAAACCCUAUCCUCGUCCUACCAGACCGAUCCACCCCUCCCCUCGUCUCGUCUCUCCAGAUCCGGUCCACCCCGCCUCCGUCUCCCACCCACCGCCGCCACCCCACCCACCUCUCAUGGAUGGAACAAGCCCCGGUGGCGAGCGACCCCAACACCGGUGGUGGCUGCCGGCGCCACCUCCCUCUCCUCCCUGGUUGGAGAUCCACCUCCCGAUUCCACCUUCUCCUGACGAACCCCCAAGCCCAGGGGCGUCCGACCGCGAUGGUGAGGGAGCUGCGCAUCAACACCACGCCCUCCCCCCGUGCGUGCUCCGCCUCCUCUGCUCCGCGCGCGGCUCACGCCAAUGUUGUGCCACCUCCGGUCGAACCUGCCCCCGCGCUGCUCCUUUGACCUCCCGUAAAAAAAGCCUCGAGGGCUCCAGAUAUAUCCCACCUAAUCCCCCCCCGUCCCACCCCGUCCCUGUCCCCUGCCGGUUUCUGCACAGUCCGAGAAUUCAAGAACGUCCCGGCAGCGCCAACUCCCAACUCCCCGCAAGGCACAAGGCAGUGCACUCCGGAGCACGGACAAACAGGGCCGAUCGAGCGAUGGAGGAGGAGAGGAGAGGAGAGGGGCCCGGAUGAAGAGCUCCCCUGCCAUGGACCCUGAGGCCGCGGUCGCCCGGGGCACCCCGCUGGAGAACACGGUAUGCCCGCCGGAGUUACGUUUCUCGCGGUUCUUGACAACCUCGAUCGCCUUGCCGCCCUUCGUCUUGGCUGAAUGUGUGUUUUUUUCUUUUUCUGAUGAUGUUUGUCGCACNNNNNNNNNNNNNNNNNNNNNNNNNNNNNNNNNNNNNNNNNNNNNNNNNNNNNNNNNNNNNNNNNNNNNNNNNNNNNNNNNNNNNNNNNNNNNNNNNNNNUCAGGGGGCCCGCCACUACUGCGGCCGAUCCCACGCCUCGUCGAGAUCGUGGCCAGCCACGACCGGCUCCUGCAAAGCAACGAGAUGGGAUGAUCCCCCCUGUCCCUCUUGCAACCCUGUCUGGACCGAAGGGGGCGAGGAUCACCUUUGCCCCCCUGCCCCGUCGCAGACUCACCCUGCCCUGCCGCAGCAGGCCCACGCGCGCACCCACGACGGGGAGGCGGGACGCGAUCCGCCCGCUCCCGCCAAAUCGGCCUCACCAGCCCAGUCCCCACCGGUCACCCCGGGGCCCGCGGAGAGCGGUGUUGCCAUUCCUGCCCCUGCUCCCGCACAAGCUGACCUGGCUGGGCACGCUGCUGUUGCGGCAUGUGCUGCUGUGACUGGGACCAGGCCCCGGAAUAUCGUUGCCCCUGGGGCUGCGCCUGUCGAUGCACCCGCGCUGGAUGCCAUGUCUGCCGGGGAGAACGGGACCGCGACAUCCAUGGAGGCCCCGACCCAGCCGCGCGUGGAGCCGGGCUCAUCCCCCUGCCCAGGGCGCCUCUCGAUUCUGCAGAGACCCUCGCUCAGGCAGGAAUCCCUACCCUGCGCUGUUAGCACCCGUGCUCUGGUCCCAGGGCGCUUCGCCUCGCUGCCGAUCACCCUGCAGCGACGGCGCAACUGCCACGCCUCCAGCCAACCUUGGACUUUGGGUGCCUUCCUCUCCGCGGCUACCAAACAACUCGAUACUGUUCUGCCCUCUCCCGGGAAGCGGCAGCGCCCCACGCUCAACUUCAGUCCCAGGAGGGGUCGCUCCGCAGCCGCCGACGCCAAAGUCACGGCUCCUGGCGCAUCAGAUCGACGAGCGGUGGUGCAGAUUCUGCGCACUCUUGGAAUUGUGGGGGUGAACCAGCAGAUUACUGCCAUCGAGAUGAAGGCCUACGACAACAUGUUCGCCAUGCCGCUGAGGCUUCCAGUGCUGCAGGCCAUGGCCGCCUUGGUCGACCGAGCUAUCCCUGCUGACAUGGCUCCGCCGGCGGGUGAUGCCAUGGUCAGUGCGCGCUAGGCCAACGGCGACUGUUGUCGAUCUCUCUCCCAUGUAUCCAGGUCCUCAGAUAGCCGUCUGGAAUGUUAGGGGAUUAAACUCGCGCGCUAGGCGCUGCGCGAUCCGCUCUCUGCUAUGUACUACUCAGGCAUCCAUUGUAUGUCUUCAGGAAACGAAAAUGGAGUUGAUUUGCUCGUCGACUGUGUUGGACACCCUCGGGUCCGAGUUCGAUGGCUCCACCUAUCUCCCGGCCGACGGCACCCGCGGCGGCAUCCUCAUCGCUUGGAUAACUAGGGCUGUCACCAUUUCCGACCCCCUAUUUACCCAAAACGCGAUCACGGUCAAGGUGCGCGCGCCCGAUGGCCCCCCGUGGUGGCUUACCAUGGUGUAUGGCCCCCAAGGCGAGCCCGAGAAGCUGCUGUUCCUGCAAGAGUUGCGGGACAUUCCGCUGCAUGCCAGGGCCCAGGAUGCUAUGUGGCGAUUUCAACCUCAUCUACCGGGAUGCUGACAAGAGUUCGGGCAACCUGAAUCGCCGCAUGAUGGGCAGAUUCCGGCGCGCCAUCAAUGACCUUGACUUGAAGGAAGUCUACCUCAACGGGCGCCGCUUUACUUGGUCCAACGAGCAAUCGCCGCCGACGCUUGUGCACCUUGACCGGGUUCUAUGCACCUCGGAGUGGGAGGACUACCAUGGGGAGUGCCACCUCCGUUGCCUCGCAUCCGUCGUGUCCGACCACUGCCCGCUGUUAUUGGACUGCUCUCCUAUGCCCGUGGCCCAUAGGUGCUUCCGCUUCGAGGAAUUCUGGCUCCGCCUCGACGGGUUCCACGACACCGUCGCCACGGCCUGGAGUUCGGUGCAUGACCCCGACCCCUUCCANNNNNNNNNNNNNNNNNNNNNNNNNNNNNNNNNNNNNNNNNNNNNNNNNNNNNNNNNNNNNNNNNNNNNNNNNNNNNNNNNNNNNNNNNNNNNNNNNNNNGAACAAGGUUCAACUAAACUUGUAGCAACUAAUCCCACUAGUGCCUAGAGACCGUAUUACGCAUCAGAACUACUUGGGACCAGCUAGAAUCAGCAUACAAAGAUCAAGAACAUGGUCACCAAGGUAGCAAAAAUACGCGGAGUAUAAGGCUCUAGAGCAAAAACUAAUUGGACCAAUGGAGGAGUCACUUACCAAGGAGUAAUUUCCCCAAAACAGUUCGGAGAAUGGUGAUUUGAGCAAAGAGAUCGAAAAUCCCAGCAAGAGGAGCAAGAACACGGGUUUGAGCUGCGAAACGAUUUUUUUUCUGGAGGUAGGAGAACUGGAUGGGAGCAAGAAUGAGUGGAGGGGGUGCCUGUGGGCCCCACAAGCCUGGGUGGCGCGGCCAGGGGGGUGCCCGCACCCCUAGGGCUUGUGGCCCACUGGUGUGGCCCCCAGACAGACUCUUUGUCCCAGUAUUUUGCAAAUAUUCCAGAAAAAACCAAACUUGAUUUUCACAGCGUUCGGAGAACUUUAAUUUUCGGGGUACUUUUCUAACGGACGCUAAGACAGAAAACAGGGAAAACUAAACUAAAUCUAUCAUUUUUCUUCUAAGCAACCGAAGUUGAAAGCUUGGAACAGAGGUUUGUGACUCCUUGAUUCAUCCAUCUCAUGGUCAUCGAAAGAAAUCCGUCAAUGGGGUUGAUCAAAUCCCCUCGACAAAACUUUCCCGAAUCACAAAAGAGAACGGAGAAUUUUCGAAUAGUCACUAAGUCACCUCAAUGGGGAUGUGUAUCUCCCCAACAAGCAAAUUAUACUUCAUCUUGACACGAGGAAUAGGGCAUUCAAAGCUCCCGAUGAGAAUCGAUGAAGUUUUUUCGAUAGCAUUGAUGCAAUGUACUCGGUCUUGUUUCUUCGGAAAGUGCACCGUAUGCUCAUUACCGUUGACAUGGAAAGUGACAUUGCCUUUGUUGCAAUCUAUAACAGCCCCUGCAGUGUUUAAAAAGGGUCUUCCGAGGAUGAUAGCCAUGGCAUCAUCCUCGGGAAUAUCCAAGAUAACAAAGUCUGUUAAGAUAGUGGUGUUAGCAACCACAACAUGCACAUCCUCGCAAAUGUCGAUAGGGAAAGCAGUUGAUUUGUCGGCCAUUUGCAAAGAGAUUUUAGUGGGUGUCAACUUAUCCAGUUCAAGUCUACGAUAAAGAGAGAGAGGCAUAACACUAACACCGGCUCCAAGGUCGCAUAACGCAGUUCUCACGUAGUUGCCUUUAAUGGAGCAAGGUAUAGUGGGCACACCAGGAUCACCUAGUUUCUUAGGAGUUCCACCCUUGAAAGUGUAAUUGGCAAGCAUGGCGGAGAUCUCAAGAUGAGGUAUCCUCCUCUUAUUAGUCACAAUAUCUUUCAUGUACUUAGCAUACGGAGACAUCUUGAGCAUAUCUGUCAAACACAUCUACAGAAAGACAGGUCUGAUCAUCUCAACGAAUCGCUCAAAAUCCUCAUCAUCCUUUUUCUUGGAUGGUUUGGGAGGAAAGGGCAUAGGUUUCUGAACCCAAGGUCCCCUUUCUUUACCGUGCUUCCUAGCAGUGAUGUCAUUCUUAUCGUAUCUUCUAGUCUUAGGCUGUGGGUUAUCAAGAUCAACACUAGGUUCAAUCUCCACAUCCUUUUCAUUGCUAGGUUGAGCAUCUUUAUGAACAUCACUAUUGAUAUUAUCAUUAGGCUCAUGUUGAUCACCAUAUUGUGUUUCAGCAUCAGAGACAGAGGCAUCGUUUGGACUCUCAGGUGUAGCAGCAACAGGGUGGCUAGCUUGCAGGUUCCUAUCAUCUUUCUUCUUCUUUCUAGGAUGACUAGGUGCAUCAGUGCUAACUCCUUGAGANNNNNNNNNNNNNNNNNNNNNNNNNNNNNNNNNNNNNNNNNNNNNNNNNNNNNNNNNNNNNNNNNNNNNNNNNNNNNNNNNNNNNNNNNNNNNNNNNNNNGCGACGGCGCCCAACCGCCGGCGCCGGCGUCCCCAGCCACGCCGGCCGCACUUCCACUCCUACAACCUACGUUCGAGACCUGGUAGAACCCUAGCCUCUACCAAUAUGUUGUUGGGUCAAGCCGCUGUUGCACUAGACACGCAAGUACCCAUUGCUCUCGGAUUCAUUUGGUGGGGCUGCAAGUAGAGAGAUCGCAUUUCAGAAUUUCAUUUUGCCAUCAUACAGAAUGGCACAAGACUGGACCAGUAACUUCUGGUUCUGGGAGUGGAUACAGAGAAAAACUUAUGAGGACCAGAAACAUAAAGAGAGAAACACCCAUCAUCCACGCCUCUCCUCGGCUCACUCUUCUCUGUCAGACAGGUGAGCUCAUGCUUCCUCUAUUAGUAUCCUUUGAUUUUGUGCGGUGUUGUAACGUGUGCUUGUGUUUUUUGCUUUGUGGGCUACACUACUAGUACUGCAAGAUGUGUGUGAUGCUAGUUAUGUAUGUGUUCCGUGUUGUUGUGUGGUGCUGGUUUUGCCACUGCCAACUUGUCUACUGGUUGUCCUGACGCUGUGUGCUACUAGCUGCUGUUUGUUGGUUCUACUGCUGCUAUGUGCUAUUACCUGCUGCUGGUUGCUUCCUUAUUUUGUUAUUCGUGAAACUGAAAGCUCUUUGUGAGAAGCAAUGAAUGAAGCAUCAAAGUGCCUUUGUCAAAGGGUGUUCGAUUCAUGAUAACUUCAUGCUGGUCCAGUGCACUGCGAGGAAACUACACGUGUUGAAAGAGCCCAUGGUCAUGCUCAAACUGGAUAUUUCCAAGGCCUUCGAUUCGGUACGGUGGCCUUUCAUCCUUGAGGUGCUUCAAGCCAUGGGUUUCAGUGUCAGAUGGAGAGAGUGGAUUUGUGGACUUUUGGCAACUUCCUCUACGAGAAUGAUGGUGAAUGGGACUCCUGGAAGGCCGAUCCUUAACUGCCUUGGCCUAAGGCAAGGAGAUCCAGUGUCCCCGAUGAUCUUCAUCCUAAUCAUGGAACCGCUACACCGACUAUUUCAGAUUGCCGUGGACAGAGGAAUCCUAUCCCCUCUGGCAAGCUUGGGUGUCCUUCAGAGGCUUUCGAUGUUUGCGGAUGACGUGAUGAUUUUCUUGAAGCCAUGGGAUAAUGACCUCCAUGCUUGUGCUGCAUUGCUGAGGCUGUUUGGGGAGGUUUCUGGGUUGCGAGUCAAUCUGAGGAAGAGCGCUGCACUACCCAUCCGAUGUACCACGGAGACCAUGCUGGUGGUGGAUAUCCUGGGCUGUCCAGCGGGGACUUAUCCAUGCAAAUACUUGGGGUUGCCACUGACAUUACGAAAACAAACGGCUGCCCAGCUGAAAGGACUGGUGGACCAACUCGCAAAGUGUUUGCCUAAGUGGAAAGCAGCCAAUAUGCCAAAGAGUGGGAGGUUACUACUAGUCCAAUCGGUCCUAUGGGCAAUCCCAAUCCACGCAAUGAUGGCUCUUGACAUCCCGAUGGAAACACUCUUGGAAAUGGAGAAGAUCUGUAGGGGCUUCCUCUGGAGUGCUCAGGCCCAGGCCAAUGGUGGUCAGUGUAUGGUAGCAUGGACGAAAGUUUGCUCGCCCAAAUGGGCUGGUGGUUUGGGCAUACCGAACCUGCGAUGGUUAAAUCUGGCCAUCCAGGCUCGCUGGCCGUGGCUGCAACGUACGGAUGUGUCGAGACCUUGGGCGGAGUUUGAAAUCAGCGUGCCAAAGGAGUCUAUGCAACUGUUCAGAGCUGCGACAAGGACNNNNNNNNNNNNNNNNNNNNNNNNNNNNNNNNNNNNNNNNNNNNNNNNNNNNNNNNNNNNNNNNNNNNNNNNNNNNNNNNNNNNNNNNNNNNNNNNNNNNUGCUAGCACUAGAUAAAACACCAUGAUUAAAGGGUGAGACUUCUCUAGGCAGAGGUAAUGAGGAAAUGAAAUCGGUCAAAGUUUGUCGUAGCUCUCCCAAGGAUUUUUGUACCGAGUGACAAUUACUAUAGACAAUGUUCUCCGAAAUCCAGGAAUUCCUAUCAAUCAAGUUCUUUGUUCUGUUGCACGGUUUUAACAUCAAGCUGCAAGGAUCGAAAUUCGAGUGAUUGAGUGUUGGAUGAGUCAUUCUCUACACCCAUUCUGAGGACCAGAGGAGGAGGGUUUAAACGGGCAGUAAACCAUGCUACCUCGCUACCGGAGAUCAAGCAAGAAAAAGGAGGGAAUUUUACCACAACACGAGUUGCAACCAAACCUUGAUAUUGAUAAUCCUACCGCCGCUGCCAACGCCGCGCCACUGUAAAGUACACCGGAUCUGGGAGGGUGGUGGGAUUUUACCGCUAAAGCAAGGUGCUUCAGCAACCACUUUCCUCACCAGACAUGUACCCUAAAUUCACAGUCGCCUCCACCACCGGAGUCGUUGAAGGGCAAUUGGCCGCACUUCAUUAGUUUGGGGGAAAAGGAGUACAACAUGGAAAAAGAAAUAUAAACUCCUCGCCAGAGAGGAGCCACCGGGGUCGUAUCGCCACCGGGAUCAGGGUAGAGAAAGAUGAUUUCACACCGCCUCCAACUCCUUCUUGGCGCCCUGAUCCAACUCGCCGCCGAGGAUUUAAUCUAGCUGCGGAUAGCAAUUGUUAGGACCAUAGGUUCUGACGGACUAAUAUUCAUAGAAACACUCGAAAUUCAGGGAACUAGCACAUUCAUAUCUUGAUUGUAGAGGCAAAAUAGUUGGGGUUUCGAUACAAGUGUGACCAACCGGGAACACCGGUGGCUAGGGUUUACCCCAAAGAGAUAAGGAUGAGCAUGCACGCUCCAAAAUGGGGAUUAUAUGGCCUCACAAUCAUCUGGUAGAAGGAACUAGAAACACACAUGGAGAUGGGGAAGAAUUGGGAGCUUUACAAAGAGCAACAACACCUCGACCACUAGGAGUCGUCCGAUGGUUGAUCAACGCUCGGAGUUGGAUGCGACUUACCAAAGCGGUACGCAUCAACUAGGGGCGUUAAAUGGACGAUCGAUGGCCCAUGACUCUUUGCACCACAAGAGAGACAUUUGAGUUAACUGAAAUUGAUACACAACGUUAGUACUCUUGACAUAGGAACACGUCACGUGUACCCUCAACGUCGGGGGUGAUGCACCGCAGCUCACGUCGAAGGAGAUCCGACCGACAGCGCGAUUCACAAGAAAGUCGACGGAUGCUUUUGAAGACCCGAAACCCCACAUGCCCGAGAGGGACCCCGUCAAGGAGUGCGGUGGCUAUGGGCUGCCCUAGGUCGGUUAGCCCACCCCAAGAACCUCAAGGAUCGCUGCUCUCCAAUACGAAGAACGAGCUAAGAACGGGAGAGAAAGAACAAGGGAGAGAUGUAAAAACUAGGGCAAAAAGUAGUAGAUUGAUUUGUUCGAUUGUGUGUUGUUCAAUAGGCCGUCACCUCUCACAUAUAUAUGAGGCGGCUGGACUUCCCGUACAAGAAAAGGACUAAAAAUCCUGUCCAAAACGUCGAAAACCCUAACUUAACUCGGACAAGAAACUUUAGCAAUUUUCCGGAUCAACUCGGAGCCACCAAGUGAUUUUUCUUGGUCCCAUCGAGUUANNNNNNNNNNNNNNNNNNNNNNNNNNNNNNNNNNNNNNNNNNNNNNNNNNNNNNNNNNNNNNNNNNNNNNNNNNNNNNNNNNNNNNNNNNNNNNNNNNNNGUUACAAGCAAGACAAGACAGCAACAAAUAUAACAGAUUCCAGACUUAGAAAUAUUCAGCUCCUCCAAAUCAGCACUAUUCUAGCAACUUGAGGGAAACCAAACCACACCUAAACAUGCAUUUCAUUGCAACUUAAAUAUACCAGGGCUAGAGUAAACACCCAAGAUCAACUCUCUAGUUGACAACUCCGUCAAACGAAACACGGAAUAAAUCCUACGAGUUAAACAAAAGGGCAUCACGGCAAAAUAUCACGCGAACUAAUUUACUCAAAAGCUAAAACUAAUUGCACAGAGAAAUACCAUGGAUUUUUCUACCCCGAACACAUAUAAAAUAUGUGGGGUUGCACAACAAUAUAAUUCCACACGAAAAUGCGAGAAAAAAUAACCUACACACGGGAAAAUAAACUACCGGCAAACCCUACAUGCAAAAAUACCAAUGACCGCUCUAAAAUACAUGGACAAAUGGUUCCUAAAACAUGGGCAUUUCUAAUAUGGCAUACGAGCAACCCGGUCUUGCGCGAAAAAUAAAUACGGGUCGAAAUCUAUUGGGACAGCACAUAAACCUAGGCAUUUGGCACGGCAAACCACGCAAACAAAUAUGCAAGUUGUGGAAUCGUGUUCUACUCGCAAAACUACCCCAAAACCAUAUAAGAUACGCCUCGUUCCGACUUACGGAUUAAAAGAUACGCGCGUUUUUAAUAUCGUCAUAUUUUCUGGAAUUUAAUUAUAUUGCAAAAAUAAGAAAAAUUCUAACGGGCCGAAUCUACACAUGGGCCAGUGGGAAACACACUAAAUAUCACCCGGGGCGAGGGAUAGGUGCUGGAGCUCACCUUGGGGGGAGCCUCUUGGGCCGGUUGGGAGGCUGCAGCAAGAUGGGCCGGCGGGGGAGCAGUGGGCCGAGGCGGUAGGCCGAGCUGGCGCAGGCGAGUAGCCACGCGCUGAUGGGCCGGCUCGGGGACCUCCUGGCGAGGCCCAGCUGGGGGCCAAGCGACGCGCUCGGGAGGUCGUCGUCCUCCUCGCCCUAGAGAAGGAGCAGCGCCGACGAGGUCCCUGGACCGGGCGGAGAGGCCGGGGAACGGAGGGAGAAGCCGGAUCCACGACGGGGAUCGCCGGAUCCGUCCCUUCCCGGUGGCGGCUGGGGCACAAGGCGGCGCUGGGGCGCGCGGAACAAGGCGGCGACGAGCUCCUUCUCGGCUCCUACGAGGUCAACGAGGGAGAGAGAUAAGAGGGAGAGGAACCGGCGGGGAAGAGAGAGAGAGCAUGCAGCGGCGCUGGCCUUUGGGAGCUGCUCGCCGGCGGCGACGCUCCGGCUAGAUUCGGGCCCUGGCUGCGGCGGCUUCGACGGGGAGAGGCGAGGGGAGGCUCAGGAGGCUGCCUCGACGGGAGCAGGGAGGCUGCGGUGGCGGAUGGGCUUCGGCGGGCCACGCGCGGGCUCGGGCUGGCCCGGCGGCUGGUGGGAGGAGGUGCUGCGGGGGGAGAGAGAAAGCCUAGGGUUUGCACGCUUUUCAACGCAAAGGAGGGGCUGUGUGAAAAUAAGCACACGGGGUCUAUUUAUAGGCAAAGGGGGGGGCUAGGUUAACCGAGAUCGCGUUCCGGAUCCAACCGCGGGGUCGGNNNNNNNNNNNNNNNNNNNNNNNNNNNNNNNNNNNNNNNNNNNNNNNNNNNNNNNNNNNNNNNNNNNNNNNNNNNNNNNNNNNNNNNNNNNNNNNNNNNNUCUAGUAAUGACUCUGACGGCAUUGUCAUUCAGCUCAUUGAGCAAGUCAUUCUGAGCUUUAAGUACUUGUUCUACCUGAGUAGUAACCAUAGAGGCAUGUUUACUCAGAAGCUUAAGAUCGUUGACGUUUCUGUCCACACAAGCACUUAAAUGACUAAGCAUACGAGCAUUCUUUUCCAAUUGUCUGCUAACAUAAUCAUUGAAACUCUGUUGUUUGGCAACAAAGUUAUCAAAUUCAUCCAUGCAUAGGCUAGCAGGUUUAUCAAAAGGAAUAUCACUCUCAUCAAACCUACGCGGAGAAUUUACUUCUACAACCUGUAUCGGGUUAUCGAGACCAUGGAUCUCUUUGAUAGGUGGUAGAUUUUUGACAUCUUCAGAUUUAAUGCCUUUCUCUCGCAUAGAUUUCUUGGCUUCUUGCAUAUCUUCAGGACUGAGGAAUAGAAUACCUCUUUUCUUCGGAGUUGGCUUAGGAGGUGGUUUGGGAAUAGUCCAAGCAUUCUCAUUGCACAAGAUGUUAUUCAGUAGAAUCUCAACUUGUUCUACAGUCCGUUCCCUAAAAAACACAACCGACACAACUAUCUAGGUGGUCUUUGGAAGCAUCGGUAAGUCCAUUAUAGAAGAUAUCAAGUAUCUCAUUCUUCUCAAGAGGGUGAUCAGGCAAAGCAUUCAGUCGCUGGGUAAGCCUCCCCCAAGCUUGUGGGAGAUCUCUUCCUCAUCUUGAGCAAAGUUGUAUAUUUUCUGCAAGGCAGCUUGCUUCUUAUGGCAGGGAAAUAUUUUUCAGAGAAGUCGUAGACCAUAUCCUGGGGGCUACGCACACAACCAGGAGUAAGAGAAGUGAACCAUGUCUUAGCAUCAUCCUUAGCGAGAAAGGAAACAGUUUGAGCAUAUAGUAGUGGUGGAUCUUUUCCUCACUAGUGAAUAGGUUGGCUAUAUCGUGCAGUUUGGUAAGAUGGGCGACAACCGUUUCAGACUCAUAACCGCGAAAAGGAUCAGAUUCGACUAGAGUGAUUAACUCAGGGUCGACAGAGAAUUCAUAAUCCUUAUCGGUCACAAAGAUAGGCGAAGUGGCAAACAUCGGGUCGUAUUUCAUCCUAGCGUUUAGAGAUUUUUCUUUCCACUUGCGUAGAAGUUUCUCAACAUCAUAGCUAUCCUUACACGCAAGAAAAUCCUCGUAUCAGCAGUUUCAGAAGUAUCAUCACGUCUAGCAGCAACUCUAGCAAUUUGUGCAUCAAGGGCACCUAAUGGCAAAGCAGUAUCAGGCAUAUCAGGCAUAGUAUCAAGCAUAGCAUCAUCAGGCAUAGUAUCAAGCAUAGCAUCAUCAGGCAUAGUAUCAAGCAUAGCAUCAUUAGGCAUAGUAUCAAGUAUAGGAUCAUCAGGCAUAGUAUCAAGCAUAGCAUCAUCAGGUAUAGUAUCAAGCAUAGCAUCAUGGCAGCAGAAGUAGCAUCAUCAAGCACAAGUGACAUAUCAAGAUUUCUAGCAGGAGGUGAAGUCGCAAACUUACUCAAAACUGAAGGUGAAUCAAGUGCAGAGCUAGAUGGCAGUUCCUUACCUCUCCUCGUAGUGGAAGUGGAACUUUAGUUCUUGGAUCUUUUGGAUUCCUCAUAGUGAUCAGCNNNNNNNNNNNNNNNNNNNNNNNNNNNNNNNNNNNNNNNNNNNNNNNNNNNNNNNNNNNNNNNNNNNNNNNNNNNNNNNNNNNNNNNNNNNNNNNNNNNNAAAACGAUGCAAAAACAUAUAAAGAACGUUACGAACGGAGCUACAGAUGAACCGGAAACUACGAAACAAGAACUGGAGUCCCACAGAUCAAAUCUACCACAAGCACUCUCCAAUAGCAUACUUCUGGUAUUCCCAGGUUGCCAAAUGAUCAAACAAACAAACAUAGAUGGGGUGGUGCAAAGAAUCUCACCACACUAUCAACUAUGCACACACAAGCAUCAAAUCAACAAAACUAUACAAUGUGUCCUAAACAACAACAUAGCAGUUUGAAAGCAACAUGCAAAGCACCUACAGCCACCCAAAUGUGCCAAAUAAGAUAUGUGGCAAAAGCUAUUCAACAGCUCUACAAGCAUGAGUAAAAAGAUAAUACAAAGGAGUUACACACAAAAAGAUCUACACCUGCUAACUUGGCCAAAAAUAUCAGUUUUCAGGGACUUAGUGGAAUUCUCAGACUUUCACCGGGUGUUUAUGCUCUGAAGCAUUUUGACAGCACCCAAAUCCAUAUCUACAGGAAGCGAAAUGGAAAUAAAAUUGGCGGAGAGCUAGACAAACACAAAAUCUACAACUCUCUAGUUGAUUGCAAGGGCUGAUUCCCAACAUAUGAACUUUUGCAACCACAACUACAAGGGAAGAAAAUAUCAGCAGAUUUUCAGACUUAGUGAAAAUCACAACUGACAAUUUCAGCCACAUGCCUACUUUGACAAGACACAACUUGCACAUACAAACUCCUAAUCAUAAAACAAAACCACCAUGCUGUAGAGGGGUUCACCCACUACUGCCACAACAAGGAAUCAUCCUCUUGGGCUCAUCCCAUCUCAUAGAACCAAGCUCUAAACAAAGCAUCAAACAGAAAAAUGACUUUUCCAGAAAGUGUUCCAAAGGAAAAUCUGAUUCCACCAAUGGAUUCCUGGGAAGAUUCUACCCCCAAAAAACAUAUAUAAUACCUAGGUACUUGCAUAGAACAAAUAGGCACAAAGCUAAGAUGAAAAUUCUACAUGGAAUCACAAAGAUGCAAAUAGUGCCAUAUCAUACAUGUUGCUCACUAGAUCAUCACCUACUCAUGCACUUGCACACACUCACAACUCCAAUGGUGACAUGAGGGUUUAGACCUCAUGUAUGUGUGCCAUAGCACAUCACAAUACACACACAUACCUCAAGCAUACACACACUCACAUACAUAUGCUAWUCUAAAACACACACAUCAACUACCACUAUUUCACACACAUACAAGCUUGCAACACAAGAGCUCACUAAGGCUAUGCCAUGUCUUGGGCAUGUGGGUGUCACACACACACAUGCACCACAUGGAUACAUACACACCCACAUACACAUGGGUGCUUGCUCACUCACAAGCACACCUCUCAUGCAUAUGCACUAGUGCACAUGUGCACAAGCACACACAAACACACAUGGUGACAUACAUGUACACAACACUUGGGUGCUUGCACAACACAAGCACACACUCUCAUAC
rnacentral:lncRNA from 1 species